rnacentral:rRNA from 1 species
CAGCCGCCACGGGAAUACGUAGGGUGCAAGCGUUAAUCGGAAUUACUGGGCGUAAAGCGUGCUCAGGCGGUUCGUUAAGACAGAUGUGAAAUCCCCGGGCUUAACCUGGGAACUGCAUUUGUGACUGGCGGGCUAGAGUAUGGCAGAGGGGGGUAGAAUUCCACGUGUAGCAGUGAAAUGCGUAGAGAUGUGGAGGAAUACCGAUGGCGAAGGCAGCCCCCUGGGCCAAUACUGACGCUCAUGCACGAAAGCGUGGGGAGCAAACAGGAUUAGAUACCCCUGUAGUCCCUGUCUCUUAUAC